CCCUAUUAUCUAUAGAAUUAUAAUGAAUUAGUAUAAAUUGAAAUUUAAUGAUUUUUGGCGGUUAGGGGUUAUUUAGAGGAGCUUGAAUUUUAUAGAAUUUGCUCUUUAUAUUUUAAUAAUAAUGUAAUUUAUUCAUCUCCGUUAUUAAAGUACAAUUUAAAUAAAUAUCUUUAAUAUAUCAGGUCAAGAUGUAGUAUUUAUUAGAAAAUUGUUAGCUACAUUUAUGAAAUGAUUGGAUAGUUAAUGGAAGAGUUAAAUAAGAAAUUGAAUUUAGAUGUAAUAUUGACUAGAAAGUCAUUAUGAAUUUAUUCCCCUAAUGU
rnacentral:rRNA from 1 species